AAGCCAUAGUGAAGAGAUGACCAAAGGAUGAGCAGUGGAGGAGAUGCUCUUUCCCUAAGUCUGGCUAAUUAAGAUCAUAGCAAGGAGAUGAUGGCCAGAAGAGGAACCCUCUCUUUCAUUCUCUUUAUGUCUCUGUCUGUCCUUCUGUCUGUCUGUCUGUCUGUCUUGCUCUCUAGCUCCCUCUCUCCCCUUCUCUCUCCUUCUCCCUCCCUGUCUCUAGCAAAGAUAUGACCAGCAUGUGAGUAAGGGGAAGGGGAGCAAGUGAAAGAGUCUCUUCUUUUCCACAUCAGACCAUAGGACAACAGGAGGAGAAAAUGGACUGGAAGGAGAGUCUCUCUCUCUUCCUUUUCCUCUUCCCCUUAUCCCUCAGACCCAGAUAGCCAGACACUGAGAAGAGUAGCAGGAAAAAGAGACGACCUGAGUAAGAACACUAGAGAAGAUUUUCUUUUCCUGAGUCCAGCCAAUAAGACCAAAGCAAUGAGAUGAUGGCCAGAAGAAGAUUCAUUCUCCUUUCCUCCCCCACUUCCUGUUCCCCACCCCUACCAGGAACAGCUGGUGGAAGUUUCACUGACAUGAGAUUACCUGGAAAAAGUUACUACAAAGUGAUGACCAAAGUGUGAGAAAGAAAGAAGAAUUUUUUCUCUGAUCCCAGUUAGGUCAGUAGGACCACAGCAAGGAUGUAAUGGAGUUGAAAAGAAAGAUGCUCCUUCUCCCUCUUCCCCUAUAUCCGUCUUCCUCUAUGCAACCACCAAAGGGUCCAGUUUGCAGAAGCCUAACUGUGAAGAAUACAGCAGAAGGAAGAAAAUGCAGCAAAGACGUGACCAAGAUGUAAGCAAGAAGGAAGAGCCUUUUGCUUUUCCAGGUUUGGGCCAACAAGACUCAAGCAAGAAAAGGACCCCUGGAAGACAAAGAUUCUCUCUCUCUUACUCUCCCUGUCCAUCAACCCAGCCAGCAGGAAUGUAGGACAGUGGUGUCCGAAUCAGAGUGAAAGAUUCAGAGAGAGAGUGAGAGAGAAUGAAUAUGAAUCAGAAGAUGCUCUGGGCCUGUCCAACAGGACAGGGGUGGAUGGAUCCCUUCUUCAUAUCCCCAAUCCUAUACAUCUGAGAAAAGGACAAGACUGGAAUGAGACCAUCUCUAUCUCCCAGUCCCAGGAAGGAAGGCUACAGCUUCAAGAAGACAUCCAGAAGGGAGAAAGAGAGGACCUUACAUCUCUUCUUCCUCUCAUUCCAGCAAGGACAUGACAAGCUUGUGAGAAGGGGAAGGGCAGCUGGGGAUUCUGUCUUUUUAGGGUAAGACCCAUAAGGAAACACCAAGGAGAAGAUGGGUUGGAGGAGGAAGAUUCCCUCUCUCUCUCUUGGUUUUCCUCUUCCCCCCUUUCCACAGCCCCAGCUAUAGCAGAAGCCAGACUCUGAGGAGAGUACCAGAAAAGAGGUAUGGGGAAAU